GGAGAGAUGGUCGAGCGGUUUAAGGCAUCGGUCUUGAAAACCGACGAGGGGCAACCCUCCGGGGGUUCGAAUCCCCCUCUCUCCGCCA
rnacentral:tRNA from 1 species